rnacentral:pre_miRNA from 1 species
AGUGAAAUUGCUGGAAUAUAUGGUAGGUGUUUUUAACUUUUGGAGAGAUUGCUAAAUUGUUUUCUGAAGUUGCUGUACCAUUUUACAUUCCACCAGUAGU